rnacentral:rRNA from 1 species
GCUCACGAUGAACGCUAGCGGCAGGCUUAACACAUGCAAGUCGAGGGGUAACAGGUUCCUUCGGGAAUGCUGACGACCGGCGCACGGGUGAGUAACGCGUAUGCAACCUUCCUGUAUCUGGAGGAUAGGCCUUGGAAACGAGGAUUAAUACUGCGUAACACUAUAUUAUCGCAUGGUAAAAUAAUCAAAUCUACGGAGGAUACAGAUGGGCAUGCGUGCCAUUAGCUAGAUGGUAAGGUAAGGGCUUACCAUGGCGACGAUGGCUAGGGGUUCUGCAAGGAAGAUCCCCCACACUGGUACUGAGACACGGACCAGACUCCUACGGGAGGCAGCAGUGAGGAAUAUUGGUCAAUGGAGGCAACUCUGAACCAGCCAAGCCGCGUGAAGGAAGACUGUUCUAUGAAUUGUAAACUUCUUUUGUGACAGAGUAAAGAUAGCUACGCGUAGUUAUUUGCAAGUAUGUCAUGAAUAAGCAUCGGCUAACUCCGUGCCAGCAGCCGCGGUAAUACGGAGGAUGCAGGCGUUAUCCGGAUUUAUUAGGUUUAAAGGGUGUUCAGGCUGUCUGGUAAGUCAGAGGUGAAAGUCGGUUGCUUAACGAUCGAAUUGCCUUUGAAACUGUCAGACUUGAGUAUGGAUGCGGUAGGCGGAAUGUGUAGUGUAGCGGUGAAAUGCAUAGAUAUUACACAGAACACCGAUUGCGAAAGCAGCUUACCAAACCAGCACUGACGCUGAAGCACGAAAGCGUGGGUAGCGAACAGGAUUAGAUACCCUGGUAGUCCACGCAGUAAACGAUGCUCACUCGCUGUUGGCAAUAGAUCGUCAGCG